rnacentral:rRNA from 1 species
AGUGAACGCUGGCGGUAGGCCUAACACAUGCCAGUCGAACGGCAGCACAGUAAGAGCUUGCUCUUACGGGUGGCGAGUGGCGGACGGGUGAGGAAUACAUCGGAAUCUACUUUUUCGUGGGGGAUAACGUAGGGAAACUUACGCUAAUACCGCAUACGACCUACGGGUGAAAGCAGGGGAUCUUCGGACCUUGCGCGAUUGAAUGAGCCGAUGUCGGAUUAGCUAGUUGGCGGGGUAAAGGCCCACCAAGGCGACGAUCCGUAGCUGGUCUGAGAGGAUGAUCAGCCAAACUGGAACUGAGACACGGUCCAGACUCCUACGGGAGGCAGCAGUGGGGAAUAUUGGACAAUGGGCGCAAGCCUGAUCCAGCCAUACCGCGUGGGUGAAGAAGGCCUUCGGGUUGUAAAGCCCUUUUGUUGGGAAAGAAAAGCAGCAGGUUAAUACCCCGCUGUUCUGACGGUACCCAAAGAAUAAGCACCGGCUAACUUCGUG